ACACACACACACACACACACAGACAGAGAGAGAGAGAGAGAGGGAGAGAGAGAUGGAUGCACCCCUUCCAGAGUAAUAAUAUUAGGGUCGGCCUGACUACUUUACUAAACAUGUGACCACGCUGUGUCGAUGCUCACAGCUCCAGUGCCGCUUCACAGAAGCAGAACAUCUAAAGCAGCACAGCCAGCCAGUAGGUAAGCCAAGAUGGACCUGAAGGAUCAGGGCGCUCAAAUGGAGCCGCUGCUUCCCACGGUAAUAACACCUUCCCGAGGAAGAAGUGUGAGAGGUGAUGAGGAAGCAGUGGUGGACAGAGGAGGCACUCGCUCUAUGCUGAAGGCCAAUUUAGAACAAGAGGAGCUAGAAGGUCACAGAACAUUGUAUAUCGGGGUACAUGUGCCUCUGGGACGCCGAAGCCACAGACGCCACCGCCAUCACGGCCAUAGACACAGGAAGAGAAGCAGGGAGAGAGACUCAGGAGUGUGUGAUGGACGAGAAUCACCUGCAUAUGACACACCCUCUCAGAGGGUUCAGUUUCUGCUGGGAACUGAAGAUGAUGAUGAAGAGCACAUUCCACAUGACCUCUUCACUGAGCUGGAUGAAAUCUGUCUGCGUGAUGGAGAGGAUGCUGAGUGGAGGGAGACAGCUAGAUGGCUGAAGUUUGAGGAGGAUGUGGAGGAUGGAGGGGAGAGGUGGAGUAAGCCUUAUGUGGCCACACUCUCUCUGCACAGCUUAUUUGAGUUGCGCAGCUGCAUCAUCAAUGGCACAGUGCUGCUCGACAUGAGGGCCAACUCCCUAGAGGACAUUGCAGACAUGGUGUUGGACCAACAGGAAGCAUUGGGGGAGCUUGGAGAGGAAGUGAGAAAGAAAGUCCGAGAGGCCCUGCUCAAGCAGCACCACCAUCAAAACCAGAAGAAGCUGGCCAACCGUAUUCCUAUAGUACGCUCUUUUGCUGACAUCGGCAAGAAACAGUCCGAAUCUAACUCUAUGGACAAGAACGGUGGCUCAUCUUUCUGUUCAGCCCUUAAGUCUUCUCUUUGGGGUUCAUUUAACUCUGAUGGGAGGUGUAGGCAGGUGUCUUCCUGCUGGCCUCAGUGCUGCACUUCCAGUGUCUCCAUCUCGUCUCCACUCCCCCAAUCGUCCACCUCCACCUCCACCAACCGAGCUCACACACACAUCUCACUGCGAUCCUCACGACAGGCACACAGUGACCCGGACCCAGGCCAGAUGAUCCUUCCUCAGACCCAGCCUAGUGCACAUGACCUCAAACCAGAGGUCACAAGAGACUGCAGUAGUGUGGAUUUCAGUAAGAUAGACCUGCACUUCAUGAAGAAGAUCCCUGCUGGAGCUGAGGCCUCUAAUAUCCUGGUAGGAGAGCUGGAAUUCUUGGAGAAACCUGUAGUGGCGUUUGUACGUCUCUCACCUGCUGUCCUUCUUAAUGGCCUGGCAGAAGUUCCCAUAACCACCAGAUUCCUCUUCAUUCUUCUCGGGCCUCUGGGUAAAGGAUCACAGUACCAUGAGAUCGGCAGGUCCAUCGCAACUCUGAUGACUGAUGAGGUCUUCCAUGAUGUUGCAUAUAAAGCCAAGGACCGCAAUGAUCUGGUGGCUGGAAUUGAUGAGUUCCUUGACCAAGUAACAGUACUACCCCCUGGUGAAUGGGACCCGUCUAUCAGAAUCGAGCCUCCGAAAAAUGUCCCUUCUCAGGAGAAGAGAAAAAUCCCUGCUGUCCCCAACGGAGAGCUGGCAGAGACUGAGAAACAUGGGGGGCAUGGAGGCCCUGAGCUACAGCACACCGGGAGGCUGUUUGGUGGAUUUAUUAUGGAUAUAAAGCGCAAGGCACCACAUUACCUAUCUGACUACACAGAUGCCAUCAGCCUGCAAUGUGUGGCUUCUUUCCUCUUCCUCUACUGUGCCUGCAUGUCUCCUGUCAUCACCUUCGGCGGACUACUGGGGGAGGCCACAGACGGACGCAUUAGUGCUAUUGAGUCUCUGUUUGGUGCAUCGAUGACUGGAAUCGCUUACUCCCUGUUUGCGGGCCAGCCUCUCACCAUCCUUGGAAGCACUGGUCCUGUGCUGGUUUUUGAGAAGAUUUUAUUCAAAUUCUGCAAGGAGUAUGGGUUGUCCUAUCUGUCUCUGAGGACAUGCAUUGGCCUUUGGACUGCUUUCCUCUGUCUGCUGCUGGUGGCUACUGAUGCCAGCUCACUCGUUUGCUACAUCACUCGUUUUACAGAAGAAGCCUUCGCCUCUCUCAUCUGCAUCAUUUUCAUCUAUGAGGCUCUGGAGAAGCUGAUCCACCUCGGCGAAACCUACCCUUUCAAUAUGAACAACAACCUUGAGAAACUCACCACCUAUUCUUGUGCUUGUGUAGAGCCAGUGAACCCCAGCAAUGCCACCCUGCAGUACUGGGAACAGAAUAACAUCACAGCAUCAGAAAUCUACUGGGAGGCUCUGGAAGUGAAGGACUGCAUAGAGAAGAAGGGGGUGUUUGUGGGCUCAGCCUGUGGGCCUCAUGGUCCCUACAUCCCUGAUGUGCUCUUCUGGUCUGUUGUGCUCUUCUUCUCCACUGUGGCCAUGUCUGCUUUCCUUAAAGAAUUCAAGACCAGCCGAUACUUUCCCACCAAGGUCAGAUCAAUCAUCAGUGAUUUUGCUGUGUUUAUUACCAUUCUGACCAUGGUUCUGGUGGACUAUGCGUUAGGUGUUCCUUCACCCAAACUGCAGGUCCCCAGCAAGUUUAAGCCAACACGAGAUGACCGAGGUUGGUUUAUUAACCCUUUGGGUCCGAACCCCUGGUGGACUUGCAUCAUAACAGUGAUCCCUGCUCUCCUCUGUACCAUCCUCAUCUUCAUGGACCAGCAGAUCACUGCAGUCAUCAUUAACAGGAAGGAACACAAACUUAAGAAAGGCUGUGGUUACCACCUGGACCUGUUUGUGGUGGGUGUGAUGCUGGGUGUGUGUUCAGUGAUGGGGCUGCCCUGGUUUGUGGCAGCUACAGUGCUUUCUAUCUCACACGUGAACAGCCUGAAGCUGGAGUCUGAGAGCUCAGCCCCAGGAGAGCAGCCUAAGUUUCUUGGCAUCAGAGAACAGCGGUUUACUGGCCUUAUGAUUUUUGUCCUGAUGGGAAGCUCUGUCUUCAUGACCUCCAUUCUUAAGUUUAUUCCCAUGCCUGUGCUGUAUGGAGUGUUUCUUUACAUGGGAGCAUCAUCAUUACGAGGAAUACAGUUCUUCGACAGGUUGAGGCUGUUUGGGAUGCCAGCUAAGCACCAGCCAGACUUCAUCUACCUGAGGCAUGUUCCUCUGCGGAAGGUUCACCUGUUCACCCUCAUCCAGCUCAGCUGCUUGGUGCUCCUCUGGAUCAUUAAAACGUCCCGUGCCGCCAUUGUCUUUCCUAUGAUGGUUCUUGCUCUGGUAUUUAUCCGGAAGCUGCUGGAUUUUAUCUUUACUAAGAGAGAGUUGAGCUGGCUGGAUGACCUCAUGCCAGAAAGUAAGAAAAAGAAAAUGGAGGAUGCAGAAAAAGAGGAGGAGCAAAGUAUUCUGGCAGAAGAAGAGGGAGUAGUACAAGUGCCGUUGGAAGGACAUUACAAGGAUGAUCCUUCAUCUGUGAACAUCUCGGAUGAGAUGUCUAAAGCCUCAUUUGGAAACACUUGGAAGGCUGUCAGCUCUGAUGGCUCAAAAAAGUGAACCAUCGACAAAAAGCAUCAGCCUCCAUCUUAAGCUGUUUUUCUUACUCUCCUAGUUGCUGAGCACUUAAGUUUACACACGGCCUGCAGUGGCAGUGGAAGGCAAGGACAUGAAAGAAAAGAAAGCUUCAACAUAACGACAAGCUUCUGACCUGCGUCUCCUUCACUGUGGUCUCACACACAAACACACACUGAUAUCAUGUGCCACAUGUUCUGCUCCUAUAUGGCUUGUCUUGUGCGUGUUUGUCUCAGUCUUUUCAGUCCUUUCCCUUUAGUGCUUAGAAUAGUUUUUUUUUAAAUAAUUUCUAAAUACUGUAUGCAUGGUUGAAAAAUUGUCAAUCUCUUUAUUUAUAUGUCCAUUUUCUGUUUACUAAAAUAUAACAAAACCAGCAGAUGAAGGUGAGGAAUGGUGACUCUGUGAAAGUUAUGCAGCGUGUGUGUUGGAAAACUUUGAAACUAUUCUAAAGACUAUUUUUGAUUUUAAAUGGAUUUAUAUGUAUUUUCUAUGUUUUGUAUUUGUAAAUGUUACAGUCUUCUUCCUGUUAUCCAACAUAAUACUAAACUAAACUAGAAACUGAAACAAAUAUUCAAAAGACUAAUAGUAGAUUUAACUCAUGAACAUCCGUGUUAAGAGUUGGUACUAUACACAUACAUUCUUUAUCAUCGUCAUUUUUAUUAUUAUUAAUGCUGGAUGUAUCAACUGUCAUUAUUAAAAUUUUCUUUCUUUUUGAGGUAGAAUAAAUGGCAAACUAUAGUACUGUAUAUUAUUUUGUUAUAAGAGUAUUACCUCAGAAUAGAGGCUUAGGCUAUUACAUUGCAAUUAAAAAAGAUUUUAUCAUUUUAAUUAUGUAUUUGCUAUAUUUUCAGAUGAUAAUACUGCAUAUUGAGACGUGUAUCUGAUUUCUGUUGAUCUAUCUAGAGAAUGAUUUUGUAGGUUGCGUGUUGAUUCUGUCAAUAUGCCAAAGACCAAAUAGAUUUUCCUGAUAGCUGGGUCAUUGAGCAUCUCCGAUUAAAUAAUACCACAUGGCAGUUUCUCAGUACCAGUAUUUUAUACACAGGAACAUUCUGAAGCUUUAUUUCUGUGUUGUGGGAAGCAAAACUGGCACAGAAAUGACAGAAAUUUGCUAUAAAUAUUCUGAAGGGCAUUUCUCUACAGGUCAUAUUCUCCAGCUCAAGGUUUUUCUCAAAGAAUCUAUCAAGGGCAUAAUAUAACUUGAGAAUAAAUGCAAUAUUAAUCUAGAAGGGCAAAAUUAAAGGUGAUUUAUAAGUGUGGAAUCAUUUUGUAAAUACAUUUUCACCUGUACAUUUACACCUGCACUUUUAGGAUUUACUAUUUUUUUUCUUAAAAGUAGAGUAAUCAAAAUUAGCAUUCUUUAGUAGGGUGAUAUGCUUUGUCUUGUUUUGAUGUUUGUGGACGUUGAAUAAGCAGUUACAAUAAGCAUUUUUUUUCCCAUGAGGGAAUAUAAACCAGUGGUUACAUAUUUUCCAUCUAAUAUUUCAUUAAUUUAUUGAAAUAGAUUUGUUUUGACUUGUUAAAAUGUUAAAAUAGCAUUUUAAAAUUCUAUGUACAAGCUGUUUAGAUGUUAUUGUUUCUUGAAUGUAUUGAAUGUAUGGCUAAUAAAUAAAUCCGUAUAAUCUCUGAA